rnacentral:lncRNA from 1 species
AGAACCUCGUCCUAACAUGAGCAAAGUUGAAGGUCCGAUUAUUUUAAGACCGAAUGGGGGGAGAGGCCCUUACAACAGCCCUUAUAUGCCCCCACAGUCUUGUUUGGAACAGGAGAAGAAUCUCAUCCUAAUAUGAGCAAAGUUGAAGGCUCGAUUAUUUUAAGACCGGAUGGAGGGAGAGGCCCUUACAACGGCCCUUAUGUGCCCCCACAGCCACGUUAGAA